CCUUAGUAACUGCGAGUGAAGUGGGAAAAGCUCAAAUUUAAAAUCUGGCAGAUUUUGGUCUGUCNGAGUUGUAACCUAGAGAAGUAUAACUUGCUCUGGACCAUGUACAAGUCUCCUGGAAUGGAGCAUCAUAGAGGGUGAGAAUCCCGUCUUUGACAUGGACUCCCAGUGUGCUGUGGUUGUACACUCAACGAGUCGAGUUGUUUGGGAAUGCAGCUCUAAAUGGGUGGUAAAUUCCAUCUAAAGCUAAAUAUUGGCAAGAGACCGAUAGUGAACAAGUACCGUGAGGGAAAGAUGAAAAGAACUUUGGAAAGAGAGUUAAACAGUAUGUGAAAUUGUUGAAAGGGAAACAUUUGAAGUCAGAUAGGUUGGCUGGGGAUCAAGCUGGCUUAACUAGCUGGGUGUAUUUCCUAGUCAACAGGCCAAUGUCAGUUUUGACUGUCAGAGAAAGGCCAAGGGAAUGUGGCACCUUUACAGGUGUGUUAUAGCCCUUGGUUGUAUGUGAUGGUUGGGACUGAGGGAGAGCAGCAUGCUACAAGGCAGGGUUUUUGACCACAUUCAUGCUUAGGACAUUGGCAAUAAUGGCUUUAAGUGACCCGUCUUGAAACACGGACCAAGGAGUCUAACAUGCAUGCAAGUGUUUGGGUGGAAAACCCAAGCAUGUAAUGAAAGUGAAAGUUGAGAUCCCUG
rnacentral:rRNA from 1 species